CCUACGGGAGGCAGCAGUGGGGAAUAUUGCGCAAUGGGCGAAAGCCUGACGCAGCGACGCCGCGUGAGGGAUGAAGGUCUUCGGAUCGUAAACCUCUGUCAGCAGGGAAGAACGGUCACUGUGCUAAUCAGCAGUGAAUUGACGGUACCUGCAAAGGAAGCACCGGCUAACUCCGUGCCAGCAGCCGCGGUAAUACGGAGGGUGCGAGCGUUAAUCGGAAUUACUGGGCGUAAAGCGCUCGUAGGCGGUAUGGCAAGUCAAGGGGGAAAUCCCCGCGCUCAACGUGGGAACUGCCUUUGAAACUGGCAAACUGGAGUGUGUGAGAGGAGAGUGGAAUUCCAGGUGUAGGAGUGAAAUCCGUAGAUAUUUGGAGGAACAUCAGUGGCGAAGGCGACUAUCUGGCACAUAACUGACGCUGAGGAGCGAAAGCGUGGGUAGCAAACAGGAUUAGAUACCCUUGUAGUC
rnacentral:rRNA from 1 species